rnacentral:rRNA from 1 species
CAAAGAGUUUGAUCAUGGCUCAGAUUGAACGCUGGCGGCAUGCCUUACACAUGCAAGUCGAACGGUAACAGGUCUUCGGAUGCUGACGAGUGGCGAACGGGUGAGUAAUACAUCGGAACGUGCCCGAUCGUGGGGGAUAACGCAGCGAAAGCUGUGCUAAUACCGCAUACGAUCUACGGAUGAAAGCGGGGGAUCGCAAGACCUCGCGCGGACGGAGCGGCCGAUGGCAGAUUAGGUAGUUGGUGGGAUAAAAGCUUACCAAGCCGACGAUCUGUAGCUGGUCUGAGAGGACGACCAGCCACACUGGGACUGAGACACGGCCCAGACUCCUACGGGAGGCAGCAGUGGGGAAUUUUGGACAAUGGGCGCAAGCCUGAUCCAGCCAUGCCGCGUGAGUGAAGAAGGCCUUCGGGUUGUAAAGCUCUUUCGGCGGGGAAGAAAUUGCACGGGUUAAUACCCUGUGUAGAUGACGGUACCCGAAUAAGAAGCACCGGCUAACUACGUG